AGGAUGAACGCUGGCGGCGUGCUUAACACAUGCAAGUCGAACGGUGAAGCAGGAGCUUGCUCCUGUGGAUCAGUGGCGAACGGGUGAGUAACACGUGAGAAAUCUGCCCUGGACUCUGGGAUAAGCGUUGGAAACGACGUCUAAUACCGGAUACGAGCUUCAGCCGCAUGGCUAGGAGCUGGAAAGAACUUCGGUCCAGGAUGAUCUCGCGGCCUAUCAGCUAGUUGGUGAGGUAACGGCCCACCAAGGCGACGACGGGUAGCCGGCCUGAGAGGGUGACCGGCCACACUGGGACUGAGACACGGCCCAGACUCCGUACGGGAGCAGCAGUGGGGAAUAUGCACAU
rnacentral:rRNA from 1 species